CCAAGAUUAACUGCUUGUAAAAAGUUAACCUGACCCUGGGAAUUUAGACACUGGACAAUGCUUACUCUCUGAGAAAAGAGCCCAAUCUUAUUUGUUUUUUUUUUUUAAUCCUUGCUUCUAGCAUGUCUGAAAUAUGAUAAGUGUUCAAUAAGUACUUUUUAAAUAUAUGAGUGCUUACAUGAUCUGAAUUUUUAUGGCCAGUCUUCCCUCAACAUCACUGAACAGGUCAAUAUUGUGAGUCUUCUGAAAAGGAACAGAAAAAUAUAUUUCAUUUGGAUCCUGCAACACUACUAUUGGGUCCCCUGAAGAAUGAAGUAUUUAAAAUAAGGAAGCAAUAUAAUAAUAUUACAAACAGAUAGGAAAGUAGAUGAAAAUAAUCCCUUAGAACUCUUCCACUCUAACAUCAUUACCAUUUCUGGGGAUUGCCUUGCAUUCCUUUUUAUACACCUACUGGGCAGUUCAGUAGACACAUGAAAAGCGCUUGAUAAAAUUUGAUAUCUAUUAUUUUUUUUAAAUCUUAGCAAACUAGAAAAUGAAGAACACUUCUUUAAGCUUUUAAAGUGUAUCCAUCAAAAAAUAACUAUAAAUAUCUAAUUUAUGUUGGAGAUUUCAGUGAUCUCCUUUAAAUUCAGGAUCAAGACCAUCACAGCAUCACUACUUCUGCUCAACAUUAUACUGGAAAUCAGAGCUGGGGGAUUAAUCCAAGGAAAAUAAAUAAAAGUUGAGAAGACAAGGAAGGAAGAAACAAAGCUAUUAUUAUUCACAGGCCAUAUUAUCUACAAAAAAGAAAAAACAGGAGAAUCUGUAGAAAUACUAUUAGCACUAACAAAAAAAUGUUCUGCAAAGUUGCUAGAUCAAUUUGCAAAUACAAAUUGCCUUCCAAUAUAUCUACAACAAUUAGAAAAGGUAAUAAAAAAUACCAUUUUCAAUAGCAACAAAGCAUGUAAGUUUCCUAGGUACAAAACCCACAAAAAGAAUAUACAAAACCUUUAUGGAAAAUAUUACUACAGUUUACUGAAAAACAUUAAAGAAGACCUGAAUAAGUGGAAAAUGAGAAGCUUAUGCAUUGAUUUCAAUUAUCAUGAAAUUUCCAAUCCUCUCCAGAUUAAACUAUUAAUUCAACAUGAGGAACAACAAAGAGGGGACCUUGACUUACCAGAUAUCAAUACUUGAAAUAAAGCGAAAGAAAUUAAGAUUUCAAAAGCAUGGAGUAGACUCAUGCUUCUCAAACUUUCAUGCUCAUAGGAAUCCCCUGGGGAUCUUGUUAAUCGCAGAUCCUAUUGAGAAGAUCUGGGAUGGGGCUUGAGAUUCUGCAUUUCGAACAAGCUACAAGAAACGAUCAUGUGAGAACUCGGAGAAACUUACAAGACUGCUCAUUAAGGCAUUUUUGUAAUACUAAAUGAUUGAAAACAACCUAAAUGACCUUCAACGGGUAGAUGGGUAAAUA
rnacentral:lncRNA from 1 species